rnacentral:misc_RNA from 1 species
GCAGUCAUUCAAUAAAAAACAUAAGUUGCUUGUACAAUACAACAACAGCUGCUAUGGUUGAACUUAAGACUAUUUCCAGUCAGUCGUACACCGGAGACAGUAUAACAGGCAUGCACAGGCUAGAGUUAAGAGAUUGAUUACCCAUUGGGUCUGAGACCAGAAUUUGAUUGAUAUUACACAGGCAGUCUAUCAAUUCUAGCAUCAACUAUUUGAUUGACAUAACCAUGUAAAAUAUUUACAUUGACCUCCAUAGCAUCAACACUCAUUGAAAUCUAGCAACGUAAGAAGUGGAAAUGCAACCAUUCUAAGGUCCCAUUAGAAUCUUCCUUAGUUGUCUCUUUUCAUCUAAGCAUCCUGAACUAACCAAAG